ensembl:lncRNA
GGGAAAACAGAGGGAGAGAGGGAGUGAGAUUAGGGGAAAACAGAAAGAGAGGGAAUUAGGGAAAACAGAGGGAGUGAUAUUAGGGGAAAACAGAGGGAGAGAGGGAGUGAGAUUAUGGGAAACAGAGGGAGAGAGGGAGUGAGAUUAGGGAAAACAGAGGGAGAGAGGGAGUGAGAUUAGGGGAAAACAGAGGGAGUGAUAUUAGGGGAAAACAGAGGGAGAGAGGGAGUGAGAUUGGGGGAAAACAGAGGGAGAGAGGGAGUGAGAUUAGGGGAAACAGAGGGAGUGAGAUUAAGGGAAAACAGAGGGAGAGAGGGAGUGAGAUUAGGGAAAACAGAGGGAGAGAGGGAGUGAGAUUAGGGGAAAACAGAGGAAGAGAGGGAGAGAGAUUAGGGGAAAACAGAGGGAGUGAGAUUAGGGGAAACAGAGGGAGAGAGGGAGUGAGAUUAGGGGAAAACAGAGGGAGUGAGAUUAAGGGAAAACAGAGGGAGAGAGGGAGUGAGAUUAGGGAAAACAGAGGAAGAGAGGGAGAGAGAUUAGGGGAAAACAGAGGGAGUGAGAUUAGGGGAAAACAGAGUGAGAGAGGGAGUGAUAUUAUGGGAAAACAGACGGAGAGAGGGAGUGAGAUUAGGGGAAAACAGAGGGAGAGAGAUUAGGGGAAAACAGAGGGAGUGAUAUUAGGGGAAAACAGAGGGAGAGAGGGAGUGAGAUUAGGGGAAAACAGAGGGAGAGAGAUUAGGGGAAAACAGAGGGAGAGAGAUUAGGGGAAAACAGAGGGAGAGAGGGAGUGAGAUUAGGGGAAACCAGAGGGAGAGAGGGAGAGAGAUUAGGGGAAAACAGAGGGAGAGAGGGAGUGAGAUUAGGGGAAAACAGAGGGAGAGAGGGAGUGAGAUUAGGGGAAAACAGAGGGAGUGAGAUUAAGGGAAAACAGAGGGAGAGAGGGAGUGAGAUUAGGGAAAACAGAGGGAGAGAGGGAGUGAGAUUAGGGAAAAACAGAGGAAGAGAGGGAGAGAGAUUAGGGGAAAACAGAGGGAGUGAGAUUAGGGGAAAACAGAGUGAGAGAGGGAGUGAGAUUAGGGGAAAACAGAGGGAGUGAGAUUAAGGGAAAACAGAGGGAGAGAGGGAGUGAGAUUAGGGAAAACAGAGGUAGAGAGGGAGUGAUAUUAUGGGAAAACAGAGGGAGAGAGGGAGUGAGAUUAGGGGAAAACAGAGUGAGAGAGGGGGAGAGAUUAGGGGAAAACAGAGGGAGUGAGAUUAGGGGAAAACAGAGGGAGAGAGGGAGUGAGAUUAGGGAAAACCAAGGGAGCGAGGGAUUGAUAUUAGGGGGAAACAGAGGGAGAGAGGGAGAGAGAUUAGGGGAAAACAGAGGGAGUGAGAUUAGGGGAAAUCCGAGGGAGAGAGGGAGUGAGAUUAGGGGAAAACCGAGGGAGUGAGGGAGUGAGAUUAGGGGAAAACAGAGGGAGAGAGGGAGUGAGAUUAGGGAAAACAGAGGGAGAGAGGGAGUGAUAUUAGGGGAAAACAGAGGGAGAGAGGGAGUGAGAUUAGGGGAAAACAGAGGGAGAGAGGGAGUGAGAUUAGGGAAAACAGAGGGAGAGAGGGAGUGAUAUUAGGGGAAAACAGAGGGAGAGAGGGAGUGAGAUUAGGGGAAAACAGAGGGAGAGAGAUUAGGGGAAAACAGAGGGAGUGAUAUUAGGGGAAAACAGAGGGAGAGAGGGAGUGAGAUUAGGGGAAAACAGAGGGAGAGAGAUUAGGGGAAAACAGAGGGAGAGAGAUUAGGGGAAAACAGAGGGAGAGAGGGAGUGAGAUUAGGGGAAACCAGAGGGAGAGAGGGAGAGAGAUUAGGGGAAAACAGAGGGAGAGAGGGAGUGAGAUUGGGGGAAGACAGAGGGAGAGAGGGAGAGAGAUUAGGG